rnacentral:rRNA from 1 species
GAUGAACGCUGGCGGCGUGCAUAACACAUUCAAGUCGAACGGUGACGAGGACUUCGGUCCUCUGAUCAGUGGCGGACGGGUGAGUAACGCGUGAGCAACCUGCCCUAUAUUGCGGGAUAACAACCGGAAACAGUUGCUAAUACCGCAUGACGUAUUCGGAUCGCAUGUUCUGAAUACCAAAGAAGUUUGAUAUAGGAUGGGGUCGCGUCCGAUUAGGCAGUUGGUGGGGUAUCGGCCCACCAAACCGACGAUCGGUAGCCGAACUGAGAGGUUGAACGGCCACAUUGGAACUGAGAUACGGUCCAGAAUCCAACGGGAGGCAGCGGUGGGGAAUAGUGGGCAAUGGGCGAAAGCAUGACCCAGCGACGCCGCGUGAGGGAAGAAUGUCAUCGGAUUGUAAUCCUCUUUCAGCAGGGAAGAAGCAAGUGACGGUACCUGCAGAAGAAGUCGCGGCUAACUACGUGCCAGCCGCCGCGGUAAGAC